AUAAACCUCAAGUUAGUAUGUGCUUCGUUUAUAAUUGGAUAUAUGCAAAACCACAUGCUUUUGCUAUGCGAAUGUCCAAGCAACUCAUGUACUUUCCUUGCCUUGCCUUGCAAUAAUAUCUACAUUAUUUGUGACUAAUUUUCAUAAUAUAAAGAUUAUAAUUGAUCGUCUGUAAUCCCUUGUUAAGUGACUGUAUUGCCUUUGUACACUUGCUAUUUUUAUAUCUGUAAUUUGGCACUCAUAUAGGGAUUGUUAGUUGUGUUAUAUCUAAAAAUUGUUGUGCCAUGCCAAUACUCUUAAUAGUAGCAACAAUCAUUUUAACGACAAAUCAUCAAAUUAGGAAACCCUAACCUAGAACGUUAUUUUUUGUUCUCGUUUCCUCUCACAUUUGUCAAACGACUCUCCGUCUCUGCGAAAAACAUUCAAAGAGAGCAUCUUAUCGAUCCAUCACCAUCGAAGCUCCAUCCCUGCCAGUUACGAAGGAAAAUAAGCCCUCCAUGGAUUACAAUGCCAUUAAAAAACAGUUUUUGAAAAUAAAAAACAAAAAAUAAACUAUUUAAAAAAACAGUUUUGCUUCUAACAAGAGUUGUUCCAAAAAUAGAAAUAGAAAAAGCUAAAAAAUAAACUAUUUUCACAAAAUAUUCUAAAAAAAAUUUUUUUUUCUGUUUUCAAAAACAAUUUCUGAGAAUAGUUUUUCUUGUUUACGGUUUAUGUUUUUGAAACAGUUUUGUUUUUUCUGUUUCCAAAGAUAGUUUAUGAAAAUAGGUUUGUGUUUUAUGAAAAAAAAAAUAGUUUAUCAAAACUGUUUUUUAUUGUUUACAAUUUCUUUUUUUUUAAAAAAAUAAUUUUUGUAAUAAGCAAAACUAUUUUUGAAAAAAAAAUAUACUGUCUUUUGAAACAGUAUUCGUUUAUAAUUUUUUUCAAAAAAACUGUUUUCUAGGAAAAAUAAUUUUUUCUUGAAAAAAAAUUGGUUUUAGUUUUUUUUUAAUUUAUGAAAAAGCUAUUUUUUUCUUAAAUCUGGAAAUAAUUUCCAUAUCUAGAAAAACAGUUUUGUUUUUAAAAGAAAAAAAAGUUGUGUUUAUGCUAUUCGUAGAUGCCAGCUACGACUCGCAAACUGAUUUUGGUAUUUUCACACCCAAACGGACUCACGUGCAAUUCACGCGAAAACUGAACUAAAUAACUGUGUUACCCCAAAUUUUUUAUAAGUUGUGGGCUCUUUCUCCCUCUGCAAUACAAACGUGCAGUUGGACGAUUUUAUAUCUAUUUUAAUAAUUAAAAUGUUUAUAUUAUAGACUUUAUCGUAAAAAAAUAUAUUGAUAGGAUACAAAGUAAUAUCAAUUCAGUAUUAUUUUAUAACUUAAUAAUUGAGUAUGACAUACAAUAUUAUCCAUUGGGUCAUUUUUUAUCUAUUGGACAUGACGUUUAUUAUCCAGUUGGCCAAAAAAAACUUUAAAGUUAGGCAUAUAUUUUAUUCAUUAAAUCAUUUUUUAGUGAGACCCACAUAAAAAAAACUAAGACAUCAUUUAUUUCCUCCUCAUUUCUCAAAAAUUAGCAAUACUUAUUCAAAAUUAUUAUAGUUUUUUAAUUUAUUUUCUAUUUUGUAGCAAUGUAUCUCUUUAUAUAUGCAUAUAAAUUAUAUCUUAUUUGUUUUUUGGAUUGUAAAAUUUUAACGAGUACGCCUAAUAGUUUUUUUUUUCAUAGUGCCCGUGAGCACGGGCAAUUACUAGUAUCUAUAUUAUAAAUUACAACUCAUUUUGCAUCUCAAAUCUAUCUUUCACUAUCUACGGUUGAAAUUCUUUUGAGUUAAUCCAACGGCUAAGAUUUCACUUGAGAUUAUUUUUUUUUCUCUAAAAUUAUCACUUUCUUCUUCUCAAAAGGUGUGGGAUCCACAUAGGUUCGUAUCCAAUGUGUAAUUUUUUUUAAAGAUGGGCAUAUGUUUUACCCGUUGGACAAAAAUCAUAUGUUUUUGGCUUGGACAUAGUUUCUCUAUAAUACAAACUUGUAGUUGGACGAUUUUAUAUCUAUUUUAACAAUUAAAGUGUUUAUAUAGUAGACUUUAUCAUAAAAAAAUAUAUUGAUAGGAUAGAAAGUAAUAUCAAUUCAGUAUUAUUUUAUAACUUAAUAAUUGAGCAUGAUAUACAAUAUUAUAUUUUUUAUCUUGAUAUAAAUUGAUAUUGAUCAAUUAAUUGUAUCCCAUCAAUGUAAAUUUUUAUAAUAUUAAACUUCUCGAUGGGAUCUGUAAGAUGAACUAUUUGAAUUAUCAAUGUGGGCCUAAAAUGAAGCCUCGAAUAAUUUAAAUGCAUUGUGCAAAUUUUAAAUUCGUUUAUACAUUUCGUGUGACCAAACUAUCAUUUUUUUAUAAUAUUAAGUUUGAGUCUGUAUUUAUUGUGCAACUUGAAUACUUAGAUUUUUUGAUAUGUCAAAACUGUGUACUUUUGUUAUAUAUAAGCAAAUCAUAUCAUUUCCUUGUGUUACAAUAGUCUAAACAUUAUUUGUGACC
rnacentral:lncRNA from 1 species